rnacentral:rRNA from 1 species
UGCGCAGUGGACGGCUCGGUUCCCGUGUCGAUGAAGGACGUAGCGGAAAUACGAAAGGUGUUGCGAAUUGCAAGAUUUCGUGAGUCAAUGAAUAUCCGAAUGCAUUGGUCGUCCA